AGGCAUAGGGCCGAGUCUUCCACCCUUUACCAAGUAUAUAGAUGCAUUAAUUAAAACAAUAGAUAUUGUGAUAUCCCAAAAUAUCCAUGUUCCGAACCAGGAACAAACUUCAUCUUCACCUGCAACUAGCAACGCUAUAAGAGGGGCUGAGCAAAGCGGUAACAUAGCCAAUCAACGGUUUGCUAGGACAUGGAUGGUUAGAGGUUUGACAUGGCAGUAUGGGUGGCAUGAUAUAGCAAGUGGUAGGUAACGUAGCAUAGGCAUAGCAAAAGAGGGAGCAUCUAGCAAGCAAAGAUAGAAGUGAUUUCGAAGGUAUGGUCAUCUUGCCUGCAAGGUUCUCAGAGUUGUCAAAGGCUUGAUCCUCGUAGGCGUUCUCAACAGGUUCCUCGUUCACGUACUCGUCUCCCGGCUCUACCCAAAGCAAGAACACAAGCAACGGAACCACAAUCAAACAAGGAGCAAUGCACAAGCAAUAUGAUGCAAUACAUGACAUGCUAUGCGAGAUGUGAUAUGCAAUGCAUAUGUGUGCUCCGGAAGGAAAAUGAUGAACAAGGCAUCAACUUGGCAAACCAAGUAUGCCACUGGAAAGAUGAGAUAAUUUCGGUUGAAAUCGAUAUAAAGAUCACCGGAAUCGGAUGCACGGUUUGCAAAUGGCAAGCAAAACAAUAAUGGCACAAAUCUGCGUUUAACAGCACGAUGCUACUUAGCAUGCAACAAGAAACUAUGCUACAACACCCCAUCAUAAAAACAAAGCAUAUGGCAGUGAUCUACAGGAGAUGCUUAACAAAAUAGGAACACUGAGCUAUUGCUAAAUCACAUCAGAACAGGCUCAAACAAGCAUGGUGAAAGUGCAAAAAAUAUCAGGUUCACAGACUUAGUGAAAAUACUAGCAUGCCAGAAAUUAACAUCAGGAAGGCAUGUUUAGAGCAAGCAAACAACAAGCUACAGGAACUUAUAAUAGCAAAACAAGACAUGGCAUGAUUCUACUCAAAGCAUAGAUCAAAAGUCCCUUACUGACCAUAAGCCAAAAAGGACCAUAAGAAAUGAUGGCACCCAUGUAAACAUAGCAAGUUUCAUUACAGAUCUCAGACAUAGCAGAAAACUGGGCAUGGCAAAAACAGAUAACAAGUAGGCAUGUUCGUGAGCUCGACGCACUCACUACAGAGCAUCUCAUGAAAAACUAAGCAUACACCCAUCAAGAAGACAUGGCAUAGAAUCUAUACAUGGCAAGAACAAUAUCAUAUCAUACACGUAUCAACUACAACAACCUCAUGAAAAUUGAAUCUCAUGUAAACAAUCUGCCAGGAAACAUUUUGAAGCAAAAGUAGAGCACGAAAAUGACAUGCUAUGCUACUCCAUAAAUGCCAACAAAGGCAUGGAUGGAUAGAGCACAUCCAUAUGUUCAAAACACCCUUACUGAUCAUGCUCAAGAAGGGCAUGGAUCUCUCUGUAACAACAUGAACACAUGGCAUAAAAAUAACAGCAGGACAUGACUUAGUGAAAACACUAAGUUCCUGAAAUCAGCAACAUUAUCAUCCCUAGUUUGCAUGCUUGUUCUAGUCACCACAUAACUCACAAAAAUACAUGGCAUACACCCCUGGAAAGAUGGCAUGGCAUAGAUCAACACACAUGUAGGGGUCGAGUUCAUAAGGUGCACACAUUAAUCAUGGCAAAAAUGACAAAAGUGCAAGUUUUGUUAAGAAACAGAAACUAACAUCACAUAGCCCUCUUCCAACAGCAUUUCGGGCAUCAAGAUGAGCUCAAAUUAAAAUGGAGCAAUGAGAUGAAAUGAUCUACUCUUCGAGGCAAACAAUUUGAUAUGCUACACGCCCAAAAUGGAGCCACGGGUGCAAAGAUGUGAUGCGAUGAAAAUGCAACAAUAAAUUGAACAGAUUAUGACUUAGUGGAUUUCGGGGGUGGGGAAAAAGUCAACCGUCGUUUUUCAGAUCGGAUCCGGAUCGGGGUCGUCGCCGGAGUUGGCCCGGAGCUUCGCCGGAGAAGGGGUCGGGGCCGGAGUCGGGGGCCGGAGGAGGCCGACGCGGCGGGGCCGGCCGGAGUGUGNNNNNNNNNNNNNNNNNNNNNNNNNNNNNNNNNNNNNNNNNNNNNNNNNNNNNNNNNNNNNNNNNNNNNNNNNNNNNNNNNNNNNNNNNNNNNNNNNNNNNNNNNNNNNNNNNNNNNNNNNNNNNNNNNNNNNNNNNNNNNNNNNNNNNNNNNNNNNNNNNNNNNNNNNNNNNNNNNNNNNNNNNNNNNNNNNNNNNNGGCGGCGAUCUGGGGACCGGCCCGAGCACGUGGCGCGGCCUGAUUCGUCCGGCGGCGCGGGCGGACGUGUUCGGCCGCCCGGUUUUCGUCCGGCGGCGUGAGGGGAGCGGGGAGACUAGGGUUUCGUCCGGAUUUCGGGGAAGGGGUCUAUAUUUAUAGGUAGAGGGAGCUAGGAGACUCCAAAUGGGGUGCGGUUUUUGCCCACACGAUUGUGAUCGAACGACCGAGAGCAUGGAGGUGACUUAGAUGGGUUAUUGGGCUGUUUUGGAGGGGUGUUGGGCUGCAACUUAAAAGAGGCCUUUACGAGAGUGCGGUUAACCGUUGGAGUACCAAACGAGCUCCAAAUGACCCGAAACUUGAUAGGUGGUCUACCAGUGCUAUACCAGGGCCACUUGGCAAGGCUCGGUCCAUUCCGAGAACGUUCAACACCCGCACACGGAAAAAUGUAAAAGGGGACGCCGGGGAACAUAGGAGUGCCGGAUUGCAAAACGGACAACGUGGAAAAUUCUUGGAAUCAUGAGACGAACACGUAUGCAAAUGAGAUGCACAUGAUGACAUGAUAUGAAGUGCAUGACAUGGACAAAAUGCAAAAAUGAAGAAAAAACCCAACCACGGAGGGAAUAUCAUAGCACAUAGCUGAAAAUGGCAAGAGUUGGAGUUACAAAUAUGGAAAGUUACAUCCGGGGUGUUACAACACUCCACCACUACAAGAGGAUCUCGUCCUGAGAUCUAGGACUGAAAGAACUCCGGAUAUUCGGAACAGAGGUGAUCCUCGCGCUCCCAGGUGGCUUCUCGGUCUGAAUGGUGUGACCACUUCACUUUCAGGAAUUUGAUUGACUUGUUGCGAGUCUUGCGCUCGGUUUCUUCCAGAAUAGCAACGGGAUGCUCAUGAUAAGAGAGAUCUUCUUGGAGGUCAAUUUCUUCAAAGUUGAUAGUGCGUUCAGGAAUCUUGAAGCACUUGCGAAGCUGUGACACGUGAAACACAUCGUGCACGUUUGCAAUAUUGGAUGGAAGCUCAAGUUGAUAAGCGAGAUCGCCUCUUUUGCCAAUGAUCUUGAAAGGACCCACGUAUCUAGGGGCAAGCUUCCCUUUGAUACCGAAGCGAAGAGUGCCUUUCAUUGGGGAGACGCGGAGGUAGACAUGGUCUCCGAUUUCAAAAACCACAUCACGGUGCUUGUCAUCAUAAUAGCCCUUCUGGCGCGAUUGUGCGGCUUUGAGAUUCUCACGAAUGACUUUGCACAUUUCUUCGGCUUCUGUGAUCAAGUCGUUGCCAAGAAGUUGGCGUUCACCUGUCUCGGACCAAUUGAGAGGAGUACGGCACUUCCUGCCAUAGAGAAUUUCGAAUGGGGCCUUGCCCGAACUUGCUUGGAAGCUAUUGUUGUAGGAGAACUCGGCAUAUGGAAGACACUCUUCCCACUUCAUGCCAAAGGAAAUGACACAAGCCCUGAGCAUAUCUUCAAGGAUUUGAUUGACUCGCUCGACUUGGCCACUUGUUUGAGGAUGGAAAGCUGUGCUGAAAGGAAUGUUGAUGCCCAUGGCCUUCUGAAAGGAGUCCCAGAACUUAGAAGUGAAGAUGCUUCCACGGUCUGAAGAGAUCAAUUGUGGAAUACCGUGCAAGGAGACAAUUCUGGAGGUGUAUAGCUCUGCCAGCUGAGCUGCUGUGAUAGAUUCUUUGAUAGGAAGAAAAUGAGCCACUUUAGUAAGCUUGUCAAUGACAACGAAGAUAGCAUCAUUUCCACGCUUGGACUUAGGAAAUCCAGUCACGAAGUCCAUCUCGAUAUGAUCAAACUUCCAUUCCGGAAUAGCAAGAGGUUGGAGGAGACCAGCUGGUCGUUGGUGUUCUGCUUUCACCUUUCUGCAGACAUCACAUUCAUUCACGAAUUGAGCAAUUUCUCGCUUCAUUCGAGUCCACCAAUACGACUGCUUGAGGUCAUGGUACAUCUUCGUGCUUCCAGGAUGAAUGGAUAGAAGAGAAUUGUGUGCCUCAUUCAUGAUGACUUUUCUCAGAUCGCCUUUGGGAACCACAAUUCGAUCCUCAAAGAAAAGAGUAUCUUUGUCAUCCAAUCGAUAGCACUUGUAUUUGGGAAUGCCCUUGUCAAUACCACGUUUCACUUUCUUCACCAUGGCAUCCAGGAGUUGUGCCUCACGAAUUUGAUCUCCCAAAGUAGGAGAGACUAUGAGGUUGGCAAGAAAGCCUUGAGGAACAACUUGAAGAUUCAACUUGUGGAAAGCUUCACAAAGAUCCGGUUGGAAGGGCUUGAGAAUUAAGCUGUUGCAAUAAGCCUUUCUGCUCAGAGCAUCUGCAAUCACAUUCGCCUUGCCCGGAGUAUAUUCAAUACUUGGAUUGUACUCUUGAAUCAUUUCGACCCAUCGAGUUUGCCUGAGGUUGAGGUUUAGUUGAGUUAAGAUAUACUUGAGACUCUUGUGAUCGGUGAAAAUGUCCACUUUCCUUCCCAACAAGAGAUGUCUCCAUGUUAUCAAUGCAUGGACAACUGCCGCCAACUCGAGAUCGUGAGUGGGGUAGUUCUUUUCGUUGGGCUUCAACUGACGAGAGGUAUAGGCCACAACUUUCUUCUCUUGCAUUAACACAGCACCGAGACCUUGCAAGGAAGCAUCACAGAAAACUUCGAAUGGCUUGGAUUCAUCAGGAGGAGUCAAGACAGGAGCUGUAACUAGCUUCUCUUUGAGGGUGUUGAAAGCGACAUCACACUCAGGCGUCCAGACAUAAUUGACAUGCUUCUGGAGAAGGUUGGAAAGAGGCUUUGCAAUCUUAGAGAAAUUCUCAACGAAUCUUCGGCAAUAGCUUGCAAGACCCAGAAAACUGCGGAGCUGCUUGACAUUUUGAGGAGGUUCCCAAUUCACAAUUGAAGACACCUUCUCGGGAUUAACAGCGAUGCCCUUGGCAGAGAUGAUGUGGCCAAGAUAAAGAACUUCAUCAAGCCAGAACUCACAUUUGGAAAACUUCGCAUAGAAUUGAUGCUCUCUGAGCUUGUCGAGCACCAAUCGCAAAUGUUUGGCAUGAUCCUGCUUGUUCUUGGAGAAGACCAAAAUAUCAUCGAGAUACACCAAGACGAAAUCAUUGGUGUAGGGGUUGAAGAUAAAGUUCAUCAUUUGAGAGAAAGUUGGAGGAGCAUUGACAAGGCCGAAAGACAUGACGGUAUAUUCAUAAGAACCAAAGCUUGUUCUGAAUGUUGUCUUGGGAAUAUCUUGUUCACGAAUGCGAAUCUGAUGAUAACCCAUACAGAGGUCAAGCUUGGAGAAUACUUUAGCACCUUUGAGUUGCUCGAAUAGCUCAUUGAUGUUGGGAAGUGGAUACUUGUUCUUGAUUGUGUUCUUGUUCAAUGGACGGUAAUCAACGCACAGUCGGUCCGUGCCAUCCUUCUUCUGGACAAAAAGAACUCCACAUCCCCAUGGAGAUGAACUCGGUCUGAUCAAACCCAGACGCUCUUAUUCAUCGAGCUGCUUCUUCAAUUCUUUCAGCUCCUUGGGUCCAAGCUUGUAUGGACGCUUGCAAACGGGUUCAGUGCCAGGCUCAAGAUCGAUAACGAAUUCGACUGGCCGAUGCGGAGGCAUACCCGGAAGCUCUUCUGGAAAGACAUCUUGGUACUCACAAACGACUGGAAUUUGCGAGAUAGCAUCCAACUCGCCCUUCUCAUUGAGAGAAAACAACCGAAUGGUUUCAUCACGAGCGGCAUAGAUGAUAACAUCCUCAGAAGGGUGUGUCAAUUGAAUUUGUCUGGCAGCACAAUCAAGUUGAGCUUUGUGCUGAGAAAGCCAGUCCAUCCCGAGAAUUAGAUCAAUAUCCAAGUCACCAAGAACAAAUGGUUUAGAUAGAAAUCUAUAGUCGCCCAUCUUGAUAGAAACAUCUGGAAUCAUUGUGGUAGCCCUCAUAGAAGAGGCCGGAGAAACAACUCCCAUGGGUUUUUCCAACAUUUCCGAAAUGAAAUCAUGCUUUGCGACAAAUGAUCUAGACAUGAAACAAUGCGAUGCACCGGUAUCAAAUAAGACUUUUGCAGGAAUAUCGUUAACUGGAAGAUUACCCAUAAUCACGUCAGAAGAAUCCUCUGCUUGCGCUGCAUUCAUCAUGUUCACCUUUGCAGACUUGGGAUUAUGCUUGACCACUGCAUUGCUUGAAGACCUCACAAGAGGAGGAGGAGGAAGGCGCCUUUGGUUGAAGCAUUUGUUCGCAUAGUGACCCUUCUGCUGGCACUUGUUGCAGGUCACCUUUGAGAGCGGACGGUGAUAAGGAGCAUUUGACCUUGGAGCUUGAGGCUGAGACUUGUUCUGAUAGACUGGGUUGGGUGGGUGGGAAGAUCCACGACCACCUGAGUUCUUCUGCUGAUAAGGCUGACGGAACGGAGGAGGAGGAAGGUAGAACUUUUGCUGCUUAGCUGCCACUUGAGAGGAAGAAGACUGAACUGCAUCCCUGAUUCUCUUCUUUGAAGCCUCACACUUGAGCUGAGCACCUUCUUGCUUGAGGGCCAUAUUGUAGAAUUGAUCAAACUGAGUAGGCUCAAUAAGAACAAGAGCUAACUGCAGAUCCUCUCUAAGGCCACCUCUGAAUUGAUAGAUCAUACUCUUUUCAUCAGGAACGUCUUGUUUAGCGAAGCGAGCAAGUUUCUGAAACUGUUUGUUGUAUUCGUACACUGACAUGUUGCCUUGCUUGAGAUUGCGGAACUCCUCACGCUUGCUCUCAACAACACUGGUAGGAAUGUGGUGAGCUUUAAAGUCCCGACAGAAAUCAGUCCAAGUAAUCACUCGACCACCUCUGGAAUCCUUGUAUUGCUGGAACCAAUCAGCUGCCUGAUCCUUGAGCUGAAAAGACGCGAACUUGACGUAGUCCUCAGGUCUGACAUUGCUGCAUUCGAAAUGCUUGUUGAUAUCCACGAGCCAAUCGUCGGCGUCUGUGGCCUCGGCACAGUAGCUGAAAGACUUUGGCUGAUUUGCAAGGAACUGGUUGAGGGUAGGGAACUGAGGCUGAUGGUAGAACUGUCCUUAACCUUGAUUCCCUUGGUUGCCUUGGCCUUGGUUACGCUCUUGCAUCAGCUGGAUCAACAACUGAGCGUUGGCGUUAGUGGUUGCCAUCAAAGUUUGCCAGGCCUCCGGAGGCGGAGGUGGAGGUGGAGGGUUCGCCUGACUCCCAUCACUGCGUUCCGGAUUCUGACGCGUUGGCGGGGCCAUCCUGAAGAGGGUGACAUCCGUUAGCAUCUUGAUAGACAGAUAGACAAGUUGAGUCAACGGAUAGAAAUUGCAACAUAUAGUCUUCACAAUAAACAUUCGAACAGGGAUGAACGAAUGAAUUCCAAAGUAAACACCACUUCCAUUAAGGUGAGAAGCCACUUGAUAAGAGAUUGAUGAAUGAAAAUAAAAACAAGGUAUGAAUGGAACAAAUAAGUGGUAAGGAUUACCCAAUCACAAACCAAAUAUCUGCGGGAAGAAGUGUUAGAGCUACUUGAAUCCCACCUAUAAACUCCCGAAACUUUCCGGUUAUGCAAUCAGGUGUUGGGGAUACAGGGGAAGCAAUAUAUCUCACCCAAACUAACAAUCCCAACAUCCAGCUGUAUCCAUCCGUCAACACAUAACCAAGAAACCUUCGGAAAUCAUGUACCUCAACCUUCGAAAAGCAUCCGUUAUACAAGUCAUGGCAAUACUCCCAUACUCACCUCAGUACUGGGUUAUCGGGGUUAUCUCACCAACAACUGCAUAAAAGAGAUUUUCGAUGUCGGCGUACUAAACUCAGGUAUUACAGAACUGUAACGAUAAAAUUAUGAUGACAACACCUCAGAGCUCAACUCCCCGGGACACUUCCACUAAACCCCUGACAGGAGGCACCAAGACAAUGUUCUCAUCAUAAAACAAUCGGAACGAUUCCAAGAUACCCGCGUGAUCCUAAAAAUUUUUUAGUGAAAUUUGAGGAGAGGAAAGUCAAAACUUCUACGUCAGGAGACCUCACCAGAGCGACGAAGGGACUGAGGAGUAAAAAGAAUUCCUAACUCUCCGAUAUGUAUAAUCCUAAAUGACUCAAAACAUUUUUUCUAGACACAACUCGGCCGCUAAAAACGAUCAAGCAGUGGGGCUCCUAAGGUCGGGGAAGGCUCUGAUUACCAACUUGUAACGCCCUCGAUGCGGCUAUAUCUCCCACGUGUCGAAGCACGACUUAGAGGCAUAACCUCAUUGAAAGCAAUGUCGCAAGUGAGGUAAUCUUCACACAACCCAUGUAAUACAUAAGGGAAAGAGAUACAUAGUUGGCUUACAGUCGCCACUUCACACAAUACAUAAAUAAACAUCCAUCAUUCAGAUUACACUCAAGGUCCGACUACGGAACCAAAAUAAAAGAAGACUACCCCAAAUGCAACACAGAUCCCCGAUCGCCCCAACUGGGCUCCGCUACUGAUCGUCUAGAAAUGAAACAUAGUAACGACCAAGGGCCUCAUCAAAUUCCCACUUCAGCUCAGUUGCGCCCUCUGCGCUGGUAUCAUCGGUACCUGCAUCUGUUUUGGUAGAAUCUAUGAGCUACGGGGACUCAGCAAUCUCACACCCGCGAGAUCAAGACUAUUUAAGCUUAAGGGAAGGGUGGUGUAAUGAGGUGGAGCUGCAGCAAGCGACUAGCAUAUAUGGUGGCUACGAUCGCAAAAGAGAGCGAGAAGAGAAGCAAGGCACGGUCGUGAAGCUAGUAGCGAUCAAGAAGUGAUCCUGAAACUACUUACGUCAAACAUAACUCCAACACCGUGUUCACUUCCCGGACUCCGCCGAGAAGGGACCAUCACGGUUACACACGCGGUUGAUGUAUUUUAAUUAAGGUCAACUUCGGGUUUUCUACAACCGGACAUUAACAAAUUCCCAUCUGCCUCAUAACCGCGGGCACGGCUUUCGAAAGAUAAUACCCUGCAGGGGUGUCCCAACUUAGCCCAUCACAAGCUCUCACGGUCAACGAAGGAAUAAACCUUCUCCCAGGAAGACCCGAUCAGUCUCGGAAUCCCGGUUCGCAUGACAUUUCGACAAUGGUAAAACAAGACCAGCAAGACCACCCGACUGUGCCGACAAAUCCCGAUAGGAGCUGCACAUAUCUCGUUCUCAGGGCACACCGGAUAAGCUAAGUGUACAGGUACCAACGUAUUCCAAGUUGCCAAGGAAUGGUCCCGCACGAUGCUCUAGUUUGGACCAACACUCAGAGGAGCACUGGCCCGGGGGGGUUAAAUAAAGAUGACCCUCGGGCUCGUGAAAACCCAAGGGAAAAAGGCUUAGGUGGCAAAUGGUAAAACCAAGGUUGGGCCUUGCUGGAGGAGUUUUAUUCAAAGCGAACUGUCACGGGGGUCCCAUAAUCACCCAACCGCGUAAGGAACGCAAAAUCAAGGAACAUAACACCGGUAUGACGGAAACUAGGGCGGCAAGAGUGGAACAAAACACCAGGCAUAGGGCCGAGUCUUCCACCCUUUACCAAGUAUAUAUAUGCAUUAAUUAAAACAAUAAAUAUUGUGAUAUCCCAAAAUAUCCAUGUUCCGAACCAGGAACAAACUUCAUCUUCACCUGCAACUAGCAACGCUAUAAGAGGGGCUGAGCAAAGCGGUAACAUAGCCAAUCAACGGUUUGCUAGGGCAUGGAUGGUUAGAGGUUUGACAUGGCAAUAUGGGUGGCAUGAUAUAGCAAGUGGUAGGUAACAUAGCAUAGGCAUAGCAAAAGAGCGAGCAUCUAGCAAGCAAAGAUAGAAGUGAUUUCGAAGGUAUGGUCAUCUUGCCUGCAAGGUUCUCAGAGUUGUCGAAGGCUUGAUCCUCGUAGGCGUUCUCAACAGGUUCCUCGUUCACGUACUCGUCUCCCGGCUCUACCCAAAGCAAGAACACAAGCAACGGAACCACAAUCAAACAAGGAGCAAUGCACAAGCAAUAUGAUGCAAUACAUGACAUGCUAUGCGAGAUGUGAUAUGCAAUGCAUAUGUGUGCUCCGGAAGGAAAAUGAUGAACAAGGCAUC
rnacentral:lncRNA from 1 species